rnacentral:misc_RNA from 1 species
AGAGAGAGAGAGAGAGAGACCCAAGGGUGGAAAUUUUUAUGAAGUAAAAACCAAAGUAGAUCCAAACAGAGAGAACAACAAAUACACUAAUUCACAUCAAUUUCCUCUGUAACAAGGAGUCACAAUGUUAACAAAAAAGACAAUAAAGGCUCUUGAUUAGAGCAGUCACUUGCUUUCCAAAGGGGGAUUUCACUUGUUUGUUAUAAUACUCUUUGGUUUUAACAAUGCACUCUCUUCUCUCCCUCUUUGGUUUUAGCGUAAUUAGAAUUUCAAACUUCUAAAUUUUGGAGCGUUUUGAUUUUGAAAGUA